AUGGCGGGACUGAAGCCCAGCGUCAACCUCUUCGCGCUCCUCGACAGCAAUGACCCCGGGGACAAGCUCGUGACCGACCUCGACGACGCCCAUGCCAAACAAGAUGCGCCGGCGGCCAAGCACAAGAAGACGGCGACGCCGGCUGCCAGUCUUACCAAGGAUCUAUUCGCCCAGGCCUACCCUACCGCACGGGACUACAUAAUCAGGAAAAAUCAGCUGGAGAGACAGGCUUGCGCCAGGGCCAGGGCGGAGGCCGGGGCAAGAGCGAAGGCAAACAAUGGAGUUUCUGGUGAUGACAGGAGCCCAGGGGCUUCGGCUGAUAGCAGCAAGGUACAAGACGGUAGAUUCGAAGUUCCAAAGAGGCAGCAACGCAAUAUGUCGCGUUACCCCUACCAGGCGGCCCCUGCAGAAGUCGUGGAGGCGCCGCCGGCUCCCCAACAGGCUGCUCCGCCGUCGCCACCAAGCAUAGAUGACAUCAACGAGUUCCCUUCGUUGAAGUAG
rnacentral:rRNA from 1 species